rnacentral:rRNA from 1 species
CAAGUCGAGCGGUAGAGAGAAGCUUGCUUCUCUUGAGAGCGGCGGACGGGUGAGUAAUGCCUAGGAAUCUGCCUGGUAGUGGGGGAUAACGUUCGGAAACGAACGCUAAUACCGCAUACGUCCUACGGGAGAAAGCAGGGGACCUUCGGGCCUUGCGCUAUCAGAUGAGCCUAGGUCGGAUUAGCUAGUUGGUGAGGUAAUGGCUCACCAAGGCGACGAUCCGUAACUGGUCUGAGAGGAUGAUCAGUCACACUGGAACUGAGACACGGUCCAGACUCCUACGGGAGGCAGCAGUGGGGAAUAUUGGACAAUGGGCGAAAGCCUGAUCCAGCCAUGCCGCGUGUGUGAAGAAGGUCUUCGGAUUGUAAAGCACUUUAAGUUGGGAGGAAGGGCAUUAACCUAAUACGUUAGUGUUUUGACGUUACCGACAGAAUAAGCACCGGCUAACUCUGUGCCAGCAGCCGCGGUAAUACAGAGGGUGCAAGCGUUAAUCGGAAUUACUGGGCGUAAAGCGCGCGUAGGUGGUUUGUUAAGUUGGAUGUGAAAUCCCCGGGCUCAACCUGGGAACUGCAUUCAAAACUGACUGACUAGAGUAUGGUAGAGGGUGGUGGAAUUUCCUGUGUAGCGGUGAAAUGCGUAGAUAUAGGAAGGAACACCAGUGGCUAAGGCGACCACCUGGACUAAUACUGACACUGAGGUGCGAAAGCGUGGGGAGCAAACAGGAUUAGAUACCCUGGUAGUCCACGCCGUAAACGAUGUCAACUAGCCGUUGGAAGCCUUGAGCUUUUAGUGGCGCAGCUAACGCAUUAAGUUGACCGCCUGGGGAGUACGGCCGCAAGGUUAAAACUCAAAUGAAUUGA